UGCCGUUUACAGUGUUUGGUACCCAGCCAAGCUCCUGAGCCCUGGGAACAGCCUUAUUUAGCGCUCGGAGAUUUGGGUCAGAGGCUCCCCAGAAGCCGGUGCAGGGAGAGACAUGAACAAUCGCUGCCCAGCCAGCCGGCAGCCAUAGGGACAGAAGGGGAAGACUCAGCUGGCAGCGGAGAGUCCCACCAAGUAGCCUUGGGCCCGCUUUCCGAGGAGGCUGUUUUCUUCCCAACUGCUCUGCAUCUGCCUGGAUGGCAGCCAGAGGCUGGGAGCAGCAUGGCUGGUAUGCUCUGGGUGAGGCUGGUGGCCAUGGCAACAGGAGGGGAGUGACUGUCCCUGAGGGUGAGAACAGCCGGUAAGAUUAGGAUUAGGCGGGAGAGGCGGGGGAGGAGAGGUGAAGGUUGGACCUGCAUGGAGAAAGGCCGUCUUAUUGUGGACAAAGCCACAGGCAAAACAGCGGUGAAGGCCUGUCUCAGACUUGGAUUGUGGCUCAGACUUAGACUCCUCCCCUCCAAUAAGCAGGGAGCCUGCUAGACCUCGAGAUCAUCAUUACCCCGGUGACUGUUCCCAGCAAACAGAGUAAACGAAUGGAGAACCACCCACCUCCUGUGGGCUCACCCCAGGGAGAUAUUCCUGUGACAGACACUCUCCAACGACAUGGUGCCCCAUAAGAGAGGGCAUGCUAUCUCCUUCGGCCCAUUCUUCAAGCUCGUGUGCCGAAGGAAGCGAGUUAUUAUGUUGUGAUUAAUGCUGUGGAGAGGACCACGUGACAGGCUUAAUGUUACUGACCCGUCGCCAGCCUGGACUUGAGGCUGGCUGAGUUCCUAACAGGAGUGAGCUCCAGAGUGAAGUGCCCGCAGUGGAGCCUGUCUCCGCUGCUGACACUGCAGCCUGGCGAGAAGACCCUGUGUCAGAGUUUCCCAGCCAUGCCAUGCCCAGGAUUCUAGCCCAGAGGACUUGUUUUAAUCCUAUACCCCUGGAAUGUGUUCUCUUUGCAUGCUGCCUCCACCCCUGCCUUCACACACCACCAGCAAUGGGAGGACAGCCAGGAGCCCUGGGUGUAGCAACCAGAGGGUUCCAUUCAGCAAGGAAGGUCCAUCCCUCCUCCAGCAGAGCCUGAGCCUCAGGGAGCAUGGCACCAUCACAGUGACUGGAAUCAAGAGAGGACCUGCAUUGGUAGGGUGCACUGGCAAUGCAGAAUGAUGGUGAGAAAACCCUCAGAGGCUUUUCCACAGCCCCCAGAAGAUUGCCUGACAUGGGCAUGGAGGAGGGAGAGCUGUUGUGUGGGCCACCAAUGCUGCUCAAACCAAGGGUCUGGGAUAGACUGUUGUUUUCCGAGAGCACUGAACCAUCCUGUAUCUGAUGUGAGUGAGAGUCAGCCUGUGAGUACUACCCUGAUGGUUCAAUCUCGCCCAACCCAGAGGAAAUACCUAGGAGGCGAGCUAGAGCGCUCAGCUCAGGUGGUUUCCCUUCUGACAAGGCGCCUGACAAGGGUGCCCUAGGACAGCCUCAUAGGCACAAGUCUCAGAACUCUUCAGAGCAUCUGAGGUGGAGAAUUGGAGAGGGUUCUGAAGUAGGAAAUGGGGACUGCCAUCCACCUAAGUUUCAGGCAGGCCCAGGAGCCCCACCUCGGUGGCACCAUCAGCCUGGCAGAGGAGGAUAAGAAAAGUUUGGAGAGGGCACUCUAAAGCACAGGACCAGGUGAUGCCUGGGGCCAGCCCAAGGACCCCGCCUGCCUGGAUCUGAGGGGCACCAGUGAAUGACCCAGGGGUCAGUUCAGGUUCUCCAAGAAGCAGGUGCCAAGACAGGAUUAGAUGUGCAAGACAUUUGCUUGGGGAACAUGCCUCUGGGGGAGUGGG